GAUGAACGCUAGCGGCAGGCUUAAUACAUGCAAGUCAAGGGGGUAGCAAUACAACCGGCGCACGGGUGAGUAACGCGUACACAACAUACCAUAUACUGGGGUAUAGCUUUGGGAAAACUGAAGGUAAUCCCCCAUAAGAUUGCGAGAGGGCAUCUGAUAGCAAUUAAAGUUUCGGCGGUAUAUGAUUGGUGUGCGUUUUGAUUAGCUAGUUGGUAGGGUAACGGCCUACCAAGGGUACGAUGGGUAGCUGGUCUGAGAGGAUGAUCAGCCACACUGGAACUGAGACACGGUUCAGACUCCUACGGGAGGCAAGCAGUGGGGAAUAUUGGACAAUGGGCGAAAGCCUGAUCCAGCCACGCCGCGUGGGUGAUG
rnacentral:rRNA from 1 species